rnacentral:rRNA from 1 species
AUGGCUCAGGACGAACGCUGGUGGCGUGCUUAACACAUGCAAGUCGAGCGAUGAAGCUCUUCGGGAGUGGAUUAGCGGCGGACGGGUGAGUAACACGUGGGUAACCUGCCUCAUAGAGGGGAAUAGCCUUUCGAAAGGAAGAUUAAUACCGCAUAAGAUUGUAGUACCGCAUGGUACAGCAAUUAAAGGAGUAAUCCGCUAUGAGAUGGACCCGCGUCGCAUUAGCUAGUUGGUGAGGUAACGGCUCACCAAGGCGACGAUGCGUAGCCGACCUGAGAGGGUGAUCGGCCACAUUGGGACUGAGACACGGCCCAGACUCCUACGGGAGGCAGCAGUGGGGAAUAUUGCACAAUGGGGGAAACCCUGAUGCAGCAACGCCGCGUGAGUGAUGACGGCCUUCGGGUUGUAAAACUCUGUCUUUGGGGACGAUAAUGACGGUACCCAAGGAGGAAGCCACGGCUAACUACGUGCCAGCCGCAGC